rnacentral:rRNA from 1 species
AACGUUCCGGGCCUUGUACACACCGCCCGUCACACCAUGGAAGUCUGCAAUGCCCAAAGCCGGUGGCCUAACCUUCGGGAAGGAGCCGUCUAAGGCAGGGCAGAUGACUGGGGUGAAGUCGUAACAAGGUAGCCGUAGGAGAACCUGCGGCUGGAUCACCUCCUUU